rnacentral:rRNA from 1 species
GACUACUGGGGUAUCUAAGCCUGUUUGCUACCCACGCUUUCGCUUCUCAGCGUCAGGAAAGGUCCAGAGAACCGCCUUCGCCACUGGUGUUCCUCCCGAUAUCUGCGCAUUCCACCGCUCCACCGGGAAUUCCAUUCUCCCCUACCUUCCUCAAGUCAGCCCGUAUCGAAAGCAGGCUUGGGGUUGAGCCCCAAGAUUUCACUUCCGACGUGACAAACCGCCUACAAGCUCUUUACGCCCAAUAAAUCCGGACAACGCUCGCACCCUACGUAUCACCGCGGCUGCUGGCACGUAGUUAGCCGGUGCUUCUUCUGUGGGUACCGUCAUUUUCACUUCGUCCCCACUGAAAGCGGUUUACAACCCGAAGGCCGUCAUCCCGCACGCGGUGUUGCUGCAUCAGGCUUGCGCCCAUUGUGCAAUAUUCCCCACUGCAGCCACCCGUAGG